rnacentral:rRNA from 1 species
UACAGAGGUCUCAAGCGUUGUUCGGAUUCAUUGGGCGUAAAGGGUGCGUAGGCGGCGCGGUAAGUCGGGUGUGAAAUCUCCAGGCUCAACCUGGAGACGCCACCUGAUACUGCGGUGACUGGAGUCCGGUAGGGGAGCGUGGAAUUCCUGGUGUAGCGGUGAAAUGCGCAGAUAUCAGGAGGAACACCAGCGGCGAAGGCGGCGCUCUGGGCCGGUACUGACGCUGAGGAGCGAAAGCGUGGGUAGCAAACAGG